CCCGUAGUGCAGUGAGGCCAUGAUUUCAGCGAAGAAUACCAACCACAGUGACAUAAUCUUGAGCCAGGUUGCACCUCAGAUGGGGAAUGAUGGCAAUAGUUCCCAAAAGCUUGGAUGGGACUUAAAGUACUUACAACGAGCAGAGCAGGAUCGAACAUGUGCAGCUAUAUAGGAGUAUACUUAUGCAUGUAGAAGUUGCGUCGUGCAACAUAUUAGCUACCGUCCAAGCUGUCAAAGUGUGCAUGACUCUUGUCUAUCUUUUUUAGAUGCUUUCAGACAUUCACGUACAAAUGACAGACAUGGGAAGACUAUAAGACGUCAAGAUGAAAGGCUCCUAGCAGCUCUCAGUGUUCCCAACGAAACUGGCAGAAUGGCAGUGGCUGAUUACAAGCUGCCUUUGGAGAACAAAGAAACCGUGACCACAUUAGAAUCCGAGCAGAGCUCCAAUCCUGCUUUCUGAUGACACCUUACACAACGGCUCUCUGUUAUGGGGGACCGGUACUUAAGAAGCUUUACUGCGGGCAUCCUACUCACUAUUUUCAGACAGUUUGGGUGGAAACUUAAGCUAGACCCUAGGCCAGCGGCGGAAAAAGAGCUUCAGGGACGUGCAUGUCUACAGUGCCAUGGAAGAUUCUUCAAAGGAUACUGGACCUGCCGCCAGCUGACAUGACUUUCUUCCUCCUUGCCUUAGUCCUGUUAAGAUGUGGGGUCAGUUUUUCUAGACACGCAAUCCAUAAUAUAUGCAGUCUAGUCAAUCAGUGCAAGGCAUUACAUGCCAUUCAUUUCCUAUGUAUAUAUUUAGUCAGCAUCAAAGCAGGGCAAGCACAUGUACAUAAUUUGCAAGAA